rnacentral:lncRNA from 1 species
AAUGUACCAUUGUUUCUGUGUAAAGAACAUCCUGUUAGAUAAGUAAAGAACAUCUGCAAACUCCCCUAACUGUCCCCUAACCGCAAAAAUUCCAUUUCUGUAGUUCUGCUUGCUAAGCUCCCCUGCAGCCCCUAUAAAACCUUCCAACCCCCUGAGCUCGGGGCCUCUCUAAGCUUGUUUGCUUGGAGGGUGCCGUCUGGCCAGACUACUAAAGGUUUGCCCCUUUCCAGGCUCUGUGCCACCAGAGGCUUGCUCCUUCUUUGCUGGGUCUUGGAGUAGCUGUGGUCCUCUACUGGAAGUUGCAGUUCCUUCUGGGAAAUCCUAGAAGCUCCUCCAUGCUCUGGUAAGCCCUCUUUCCUCUCGCCCCUCUAGGAAGGGUGCGGUGAUGGCUCCACAUUAUUCCUGGAGGUGGAUAUUGUACCACAGCUGUGGUUCUCCUUGUCCUGCCUUCACUUUGUAAAUGGUCACU